rnacentral:lncRNA from 1 species
GAUCUGAUCACCGAGGUCUGAGUGAGUGGGCAUCUGCUGGACUCAGAGCCUAAGGCUGAGACUUCUGACACUUGAGCUGAGCCUGCAGAGGGAAUGUCUGUCAUGAGCCUGUCAUGAGUCAGGUGUUUGCAGUGCUUAGAAUUAAUCUAGAAUUGUUUGCUGUGAAUUGAUGGUGUCUGUUGCAGUGCCCAGCAUUAAGGAUUGUCAUUUUCUUGAUUAAGAACCUAUAGAGUGAAAUUGUAUUGAGUGAUUUGAGUGAAUAAAGCAUUGACUAGGGC